rnacentral:rRNA from 1 species
GAGUUUGAUCGUGGCUCAGAGUGAACGCUGGCGGUAGGCCUAACACAUGCAAGUCGAACGGCAGCACAGAGGAGCUUGCUCCUUGGGUGGCGAGUGGCGGACGGGUGAGGAAUACAUCGGAAUCUACUCUGUCGUGGGGGAUAACGUAGGGAAACUUACGCUAAUACCGCAUACGACCUACGGGUGAAAGCAGGGGAUCUUCGGACCUUGCGCGAUUGAAUGAGCCGAUGUCGGAUUAGCUAGUUGGCGGGUAAAGGCCCACCAAGGCGACGAUCCGUAGCUGGUCUGAGAGGAUGAUCAGCCACACUGGAACUGAGACACGGUCCAGACUCCUACGGGAGGCAGCAGUGGGGAAUAUUGGACAAUGGGCGCAAGCCUGAUCCAGCCAUACCGCGUGGGUGAAGAAGGCCUCGG